rnacentral:rRNA from 1 species
CCUACGGGGCGCUGCAGUCGAGAAUCAUUCACAAUGGGGGAAACCCUGAUGGUGCGACGCCGCGUGGGGGAAUGAAGGUCUUCGGAUUGUAAACCCCUGUCAUGUGGGCGCAAAUUAAAAAGAUAGUACCGCAAGAGGAAGAGACGGCUAACUCUGUGCAAGCAGCCGCGGUAAUACAGAGGUCUCAAGCGUUGUUCGGAUUCACUGGGCGUAAGGGGUGGGUGGGCUGUUUCGUAAGUCGUGUGUGAAAGACGCGGGCUCAACCCGCGGACGGCACAUGAUACUGCGGGACUAGAGUAAUGGAGGGGGAACCGGAAUUCUCGGUGUAGCAGUGAAAUGCGUAGAUAUCGAGAGGAACACUCGUGGCGAAGGCGGGUUCCUGGACAUUAACUGACGCUGAGGCACGAAGGCCAGGGGAGCGAAAGGGAUUAGAUACCCGAGUAGUC